rnacentral:rRNA from 1 species
AUUGAACGCUGGCGGCAGGCCUAACACAUGCAAGUCGAACGAGUGGCGGACGGGUGAGUAAUGUCUGGGCAACUGCCCGAUGGAGGGGGAUAACUACUGGAAAAGGUAGCUAAUACAGCAUAACAUCGGAUGUGACCAGGUGGGAUUAGCUAGUAGGUGGGGUAACGGCUAACCUAGGCUACGAUCCCUAGCUGGUCUGAGAGGAUGACCGUCCAAACUGGAACUGAGACACGGUCCAGACUCCGACGGGAGGCAGCAGUGGGAAAUAUUGCACAAUGGGCGCAAGCCUGAUGCAGCCAUGCCGCGUGUAUGAAGAAGGCCUUCGGGUUGUAAAGUACUUUCAGCGAGGAGGCGUUACUCGCAGAAGAAGCACCGGCUAACUCCGUGCCAGCCGCCGCGGUAAUAC